CAAUAGCGUAUAUUAAAGUUGUUGCAGUUAAAAAGCUCGUAGUUGGAUUUCUGGUAGGAGUGACCGUUCCGAACUUGAUUGUUCGUGUAUUGUGUUUUCUCCAGCCAUCCUUGUGGAGAACUUUUCUUGCAUUAAUUUGUAGGGAUUGGGACCCGCAUCGUCUACUGUGAAAAAAUUAGAGUGUUUAAAGCAGGCAAUCGCUUGAAUACAUUAGCAUGGAAUAAUAAGAUAGGACUUUGGUACUAUUUUGUUGGUUUGCAUACCAAAUUAAUGAUCAACAGGAACAGUUUGAGGAUAUUCGUAUGAACAUGUCAGAGGUGAAAUUCUUGGAUUUUGAUCAGACGAACUACUGCGAAAGCAUUUAUCAAGGAUGUUUUCAUUAA
rnacentral:rRNA from 1 species